GGUCAAUGUGGUCAAUCUGUUUUCGAUUAGGUCACUUAGUGAUUUGAGUUCACCCAUGCUAUCUAGGUUAGUCAGUUAUGUGAUUGGGCUGACAAAUUAAGGUGUAACCUGAACACGCCUGUCCUCUCCAAAGACUUAGAGAAGUCAGUGGGAGGAUCUUAUGUAAUAAAAAGAAAUUCACACAUAAAAUCCUCUAAAUUAUUAGAUCCUUAAAAUGAAAU
rnacentral:lncRNA from 1 species